GCAUAGCCCAAACAUGUACACCACAGCCACUGGAACACUGUGGAGGAGUCGCAAGGUCACAAUAGCAACCGGGAAAAAAAUUAAGGUGCGUCCCCUCCAUCACGGGGCACCGAGCUGGCACGUUUGCCCCUGUGGUGGCGGUCCGAGUGGUCCUCACUCCGGCUACGCCGUAUCCUGCCUUGCGGCUCGCUGAUGCUCUUGCUGCGACAAAGCCUGUUGAUCACGUUCUGGGAGACGGACUCGUCGAAGCGCUGCCGGUGCUUCUUGGGAAUGAAGAUCCUGGCCAACAUGGCAGCAUGCGGAGGGAAACAGGAAGGAACUUCUUCAUCUUCAAAUUGUAUACAGCCUGCUUGCAGACAUUCCAGGUGGCUCUCCGAGGGACCGCUCCUGGCCCAGAAUCACUCAGCGCCGAUGCAAGGAAGCCUGAGCACUAAUUGGAACGUCAGCCUGGGAUAGUGUAAAUCCGAGCGUAGUGUCGAGGUUAUCAGGUGACCACGGAUGACGCGCUAGCUGUUCAAAGUCGGAACCCGGGGUGGACCACUCAUCCGUGCAUCAGUUGGUGACAUCUCUGCGCUGCUGACUUGUCUCCACUCAAGAUGAUCCCCUUCUGGCCCCACUAUGGACUGGACUUCCACACUAUUAACUAGAUCUACUCGACUUCCAUUGCACCGGUUGCCCAGGGGUCCCCUCCAAGGUUUCUCAUUGUAGCCCAUUGGGUUGAAUUUUUCCUUGUUGUGGCUUGUGCAGCCCUUUGAGACACUUGUGA